rnacentral:rRNA from 1 species
AGAGUUUGAUCCUGGCUCAGGAUGAACGCUGGCGGCGUGCCUAACACAUGCAAGUCGAACGGAGCCUAAUCAGCAGAAGCGGACAGCUUGCUGGAAGCGGAAGCAGAAAAGGCUUAGUGGCGGACGGGUGAGUAACGCGUGGGUAACCUGGCCCAUACAGGGGGAUAACACUUAGAAAUAGGUGCUAAUACCGCAUAACAACAGAAAGCGCAUGCUUUGUGUUUGAAAACUGAGGUGGUAUGGGAUGGACCCGCGUCUGAUUAGCUGGUUGGCGGGGUAAUGGCCCACCAAGGCGACGAUCAGUAGCCGGCCUGAGAGGGUGGACGGCCACAUUGGGACUGAGACACGGCCCAAACUCCUACGGGAGGCAGCAGUGGGGAAUAUUGCACAAUGGGGGAAACCCUGAUGCAGCGACGCCGCGUGAGUGAAGAAGUAAUUCGUUAUGUAAAGCUCUAUCAGCAGGGAAGAAAAUGACGGUACCUGAUUAAUAAGCCCCGGCUAACUA